rnacentral:lncRNA from 1 species
UUCUCACUGUACUGAGCGCUGGGGUGGAUACGAGCCAAGCGGGUGGGACUCGGUCCGUGUCCCGCGUGAGGCUCGCGGUCUCCGUCCCCGUUCUUUUUUUACAGACGAGGGAACGGCGGCCCGGAGAAGUGACUUGCCCGAGGUCACGCGGCAGACCAGCGGCGGGGGAACGGCUCGUCCGUUAUUAGACCGUAGAAGUACGGAGAGGCAGGGAACUUAAGAGCCCGGGCUCGGGAGUCAGAGGUCACGGGUCCGAAUCCCGGCUCCGCCGCUCGUCAGCCGGGUGACUGUGGGCGAGUCACUUCACUUCUCCGGGCCUCCGUCCCCUCAUCUGUGAAACGGGGACGGCGACCGUGAGCCCCACGAGGGACGGCCCGAUGGCCUCGUAUCCCCCAGCAGCGCUCGGAAAAGUGCUUUGCACCCGGGAAGCGCUUCCCAGAUACCGGCAUCAUCAUCAUCAUCAUCCCUAUUUUAUCGUCCAGGGCCGUGGAGUCGCUUCUGCUUCGUAGCCGCCGCGUGGCUGUACUCUGUCCCGAGGUUCCCGUCUCCUCCGUAACCCGUAACCCUCCUAACGGUUCCUCCGUCCUCGUCGCUGUGGUCUCCGUCCGCCCAGCAGCUGCCGGAGGUUCUGCCUCCCCCACGUUUUCCCCGGACUCUUCGUAGCAUCGGCGUCUUCUCCGGAGAAGCGCUCCUCCCGAUUCUGUGGCCCCGCGACGCCCAUCUAAGUCAUCUUGGCCUUCCGAUGGACGGAUGGGGAGAGAGGCGGAGAGGCGGACGGCCUCGCCCAAGGUCACCAAGCGGGCCAGGGGACCGGAAGCCGGUUCUCCGACCUCGUCGCUCUCCCCGGCGCUUAGUACACUGCUCUGUCCACUCUAGGCGCCCCCCCCUAAAGAGGAGUGAUCCCUUCAUUAACGUCCUGCCUGCCCUCGCUCUCGGACCAGUCGAAGAAGAGCCCAGGAGGCGAUCCAGAAAUCCCAAGACCAAGAGGUGGAAGAGAGGAAGAAAACAGCAUGGGGAGAUUGAUGAUGUUCACCAGCC